UCCAAUUAUCUGCAUGACCCUUUAGUUUA
rnacentral:sRNA from 1 species